CCUCAAAAGCAACCAGUAAGUCCUCUUUUAAUGUAAGGGACAAAAUUUAUAUCUGGAUUUCAUGGAUUUUGUAAAUCCCUACCUGAUGUAAAUUAUUGCUCAUGCUCUCUUUAGAGUGCCCACCAUGCUAGAACAGAGUGGUCUUCACCAACAAGGUCCUUUGGCUGCAGAAAGUGGGCUCAGGAAUCCCCCAAGCUGUUCGAUGAGGGCACAGAAACCAUCAGGACAGGUUACGAAAACUUGACCUUGCUGAAAUGCUGCCUCCAUCCACGGCACAAAGCGCAGGGGCACUUCAGGAGCAGGUCUCGUGCAGGUCCCUCCAUCAACAGAAGCAGAAAGAAAAAGAAGGGGAUUCUUGAGAAAGAGCAGCAAGGAUUCCUGUGCCCUAUGAAAGGAAUGGUGAGCAUCAAUU